UCUCUCUUUCUCUAGAUUUGUCUUCCAAUCAAAUCACAGAAAUUUGUGACUUCUCUCUCUCUUUUAGGGUUUUAUCAGAACCAGUGAGAGCUCAAUUGCUAUGAAGGAUUUGUAGAUGGACUUCAGUGUGUUAAAGGUUCGAUCUGUCUCUGCCUAUCUGCGCUUCAGCUGGGUGUUCUAAGGUUUUGGCACUUGUCUCUUGAAAAUGUCACAAGGACUAAAAUGAGUCAGACUGAAGUAGCGAGGAUGAAGUCUCCUCUUGUUCCACUUGCAACUUUGAUUGGGCGUGAGAUUAGGGGCGAGAAGGUUCAGGAACCCUAUUUAAAGUAUGGGCAGGCUGCUUUGGCAAAGAAAGGAGAGGAUUAUUUUCUGAUAAAACCAGAUUGCCAAAGAAUUCAUGCUAAUCCUUCAACCUCAUUUUCUGUUUUUGCGAUAUUUGAUGGGCAUAAUGGUAACUCAGCUGCUAUUUAUGCAAAGGAGACUUUAUUGGAUAAUGUUUUGAGUGCAAUUCCUCAAGGUAGCAGUAGGGACGAAUGGCUUCAAGCCCUGCCUCGGGCACUGGUUGCUGGUUUUGUGAAAACUGAUAUAGAAUUUCAGCAGAAAGGGGAAACAUCUGGUACAACUGUUACAUUCGUUGUAAUUGAUGGUUGGACUGUGACUGUGGCGUCUGUUGGGGAUUCUAGAUGCAUAUUAGACACCCAGGGAGGUGUGGUUUCACUAUUGACUGUUGAUCACAGGCUGGAAGAAAAUGAAGAGGAGAGGGAGCGUGUGACAGCUAGUGGGGGUGAAGUAGGAAGGCUUAAUGUCUUUGGGGGCAGUGAGGUCGGUCCCCUACGCUGCUGGCCUGGUGGGUUAUGCCUUUCUAGGUCAAUUGGUGACACAGACGUGGGUGAAUUUAUUGUCCCAGUACCACAUGUCAAGCAAGUAAAGCUUUCAAAUGCCGGGGGAAGACUUAUAAUAGCUUCUGAUGGCAUCUGGGAUGCUCUGUCUUCUGAUAUGGCUGCCAAGUCUUGUCGGGGAUUGCCUGCAGAGCUUGCUGCAAAGUUGGUCGUUAAGGAGGCUCUGAGGUCAAGGGGUCUGAAAGAUGAUACAACCUGCGUAGUUGUUGACAUAAUCCCAUCAGACCGUCCUGUCUUGCCUCCAACUCCGAGGAAGAAACAAAGCAUGCUCACUUCACUUAUUUUUGGGAAGAAAAGUCAGAAUGGGAGCAAAACAAAUAAGCUUUCAGCGGUGGGAGUUGUGGAGGAACUGUUUGAAGAAGGUUCAGCAAUGCUCGCUGAAAGGUUGGGUAAGGAUAUUCCUUUGGAUGCAAAUUCUGGUAUUUUCCGGUGUGCAGUCUGCCAAGUUGAUCAGCCCCAAUCAGAAGGUUUAUCAGUAAAUUCUGGACCUUUUUUCUCACCAUCAUCAAAGCCAUGGGAAGGCCCUUUCCUCUGCACAACCUGUCGGAAAAAGAAAGACGCCAUGGAAGGAAAAAGAAUGAGCACACCCACAGUGGCUUUGUAGUAAUAUAUCUGAUUACAUAUUUUGUUGUAUUUUUCGUCAGGCAGUGUGAGCAUGCUUGGUUUUCGUUUUUCAGGUGGUGACUGUUAUAGAUGUGUGUAAGAAAUGAAGUUGAGAUAUGCAGAAUGUGUUUGAGAUAGUUCGAUCCCUAACAGCUUUAAUUUGCAAGUAAGUUGAAGUUUGCAUGAUGGAUACGCAGCAGCUUCCUGUACUCAGUUGGAAACUAGCUUCUAAAGGCAUUCCAACUCCUUGGUGCUGCCUGUAUUUCUUUUGUUUGAACAAUGAAAAAAUAUAAUCGAUACGAAAAGGUUGCUAACAA